rnacentral:rRNA from 1 species
GUGAGGAAUAUUGGUCAAUGGGCGGAAGCCUGAACCAGCCAAGUCGCGUGGAGGAAGACGGCCCUACGGGUUGUAAACUCCUUUUACCUGGGAAUAACGGGCGCUACGCGUAGCGCUGUGCAAGUACCGGGAGAAUAAGCAUCGGCUAAUUCCGUGCCAGCAGCCGCGGUAAUACGGAAGAUGCGAGCGUUAUCCGGAUUUAUUGGGUUUAAAGGGUGCGUAGGCGGAAGAAUAAGUCAGCGGUGAAAUGCUUCAGCUCAACUGGAGAAUUGCCGAUGAAACUGUUUUUCUAGAGUAUAAAAGAGGUAUGCGGAAUGCGUGGUGUAGCGGUGAAAUGCAUAGAUAUCACGCAGAACCCCGAUUGCGAAGGCAGCAUACUGGGCUAUAACUGACGCUGAAGCACGAAAGCGUGGGUAUCGAACAGGA